rnacentral:tRNA from 1 species
GGGGAUGUAGCUCAAUGGUAGAGCACUUGCCUAACAUGCAUGAAGCCCUGGGUUCCAUCCCCC